UGGGGAAUUUGGACAAUGGGCGAAAGCCUGAUCCAGCAAUGCCGCGUGUGUGAAGAAGGCCUUCGGGUUGUAAAGCACUUUUGUCCGGAAAGAAAUCCUUGGCUCUAAUACAGUCGGGGGAUGACGGUACCGGAAGAAUAAGCACCGGCUAACUACGUGCCAGCAGCCGCGGUAAUACGUAGGGUGCAAGCGUUAAUCGGAAUUACUGGGCGUAAAGCGUGCGCAGGCGGUUUGCUAAGACCGAUGUGAAAUCCCCGGGCUCAACCUGGGAACUGCAUUGGUGACUGGCAGGCUAGAGUAUGGCAGAGGGGGGUAGAAUUCCACGCGUAGCAGUGAAAUGCGUAGAGAUGUGGAGGAAUACCGAUGGCGAAGGCAGCCCCCUGGGCCAAUACUGACGCUCAUGCACGAAAGCGUGGGGAGCAAACAGGAUUAGAUACCCUGGUAGUCCACGCCCUAAACGAUGUCAACUAGUUGUUGGGGAUUCAUUUCCUUAGUAACGUAGCUAACGCGUGAAGUUGACCGCCUGGGGAGUACGGUCGCAAGAUUAAAACUCAAAUGAAUUGACGGGGUC
rnacentral:rRNA from 1 species